GAUGAACGCUGGCGGCGUGCCUAAUACAUGCAAGUCGAACGCUGGAGAUCUAGCUUGCUAGCUCGAAGGAGUGGCGAACGCGUGAGUAAUACAUAAGCAACCUACCCACGAAGACUGGGGUAAUCUCUGGAAACGGGGACUAAUACCGGAUAGGUAAUCUGAAGGCAUCUUCUGGUUAUUAAAGGUUAAUAACACUGGUGGAUGCGCUUAUGGCGCAUUAGUUUGUUGGUGAGGGUACGGCCCAGCAAGACGAUGAUGCGUAGCCGGACUGAGAGGGUGAACGGCCACAUUGGGACUGAGACACGGGCCAGACACCUACGGGAGGAAGCAGUAGGGAAUGCUCGGCAAUGGGGGCAACCCUGACCGAGCAACGCCGCGUGAGUGAAGACGGCCUUCGGGUUGUAAAGCUAUGUUGGAAGGGAAGAACGGUAGAUAGAGAAUAUCUAAGUGACGGUACCUAACCAGAAAGCCACGGCUAACUACGUG
rnacentral:rRNA from 1 species